GGUGGAAGACCAUCGACCCUAAGCUCAGAGAGUCCUCCAGCCCAGAGGGGGCGCUCUUGGCUUUAGCUCCAAACGCCGGUUUGGGAGAGUAUUGUGAAGGUCUUCCGUUUUGCCGCCUCUGCAUUCUUUCCGGGCAGUAGAGUAUGGGCUGUGCUCCUUGCGGGAUUGCUAACUUAUGUUGAGGGACUUCUUGGGAGGCUCUGCUCUCAGCUUUGUCUACAUGAGCUCAUGUUAUCUUCACCACCAUCCCAUGAGCACCUUCCAGGCUAUGAGGAUAAUCAAAAAGAAGUGAUGGUGUGUUGCUUGAGUCUAAACAGGUUUAUCAGGUUUCGUGAAGCAAGUGUUAAAAAGACAUAGCACAGCUCUAAGCAGAGGACUUCGUUGAACCACACCUACAGAAACAUGUAACAAAUCAAUAACCUCAGAUAUGCAGAUGACACCACCCUUAUGGCAGAAAGUGAAGAGGAACUC
ensembl:lncRNA